rnacentral:rRNA from 1 species
UACGAAGGGGGCUAGCGUUGCUCGGAAUCACUGGGCGUAAAGCGCACGUAGGCGGCUUUUUAAGUCAGGGGUGAAAUCCUGGAGCUCAACUCCAGAACUGCCUUUGAUACUGGGAAGCUCGAGUCCGGGAGAGGUGAGUGGAACUGCGAGUGUAGAGGUGAAAUUCGUAGAUAUUGCAAGAACACCAGUGGCGAAGGCGGCUCACUGGCCCGGUACUGACGCUGAGGUGCGAAAGCGUGGGGAGCAAAGCAGG